AGGGGGCUGCGCGGCUCGACAGGACGCAUUAUCCCCAGGGCCGAUACCCAAUCCUCUAGGGGGCUGUCCCUGCCGACGCCGUGGUGUCGGACAUAUGGCUCCCACCUGCCUUGGCAGGCCGUGGAGGAUACGCUUGUCCAUCGGCCGUCGCGGCUCCUUC
rfam:Nitrospirillum amazonense Y2 contig00746, whole genome shotgun sequence.